rnacentral:rRNA from 1 species
GUUAGGAAUAUUGGACAAUGGGCGAAAGCCUGAUCCAGCCAUGCCGCGUGAACGAUGAAGGCCUUCGGGUUGUAAAGUUCUUUAGCCGAUGAUUAUAAUGACUGUAGUCGGAAAAUAAGCCCCGGCUAACUUCGUGCCAGCAGCCGCGGUAAUACGAAGGGGGCGAGCGUUAUUCGGAAUCACUGGGCGUAAAGCGUGCGUAGGCGGUUUUGUAAGUUAGGAGUGAAAGCCCAGGGCUCAACCUUGGAAUUGCUCUUAAAACUGCAAGGCUCGAAUCUCGGAGAGGAUAGCGGAAUUUCCAGUGUAGCAGUGAAAGGCGUAGAUAUUGGAAGGAACACCAGUGGCGUAAGCGGCUAUCUGGACGAGUAUUGACGCUGAGGCACGAAAGCGUGGGGAUCAAACAGGAUUAGAUACCCUAGUAGUCC